rnacentral:rRNA from 1 species
CUACGGGUGGCAGCAGUGGGGAAUAUUGGACAAUGGGGGAAACCCUGAUCCAGCAAUGCCGCGUGUGUGAAGAAGGCCUGCGGGUUGUAAAGCACUUUCGGUUGGGAGGACUGCUUCUAGCACUAAUAUUGUUGGAAGUUGACGUUACCUUCAGAAGAAGCACCGGCUAACUCCGUGCCAGCAGCCGCGGUAAUACGGAGGGCGCAAGCGUUACUCGGAAUCACUGGGCGUAAAGGACGCGUAGGCGGGUUGGAAAGUCAGGUGUGAAAGCCCCGGGCUUAACCUGGGAACUGCAUCCGAUACUGUCUAGCUUGAGUACAGGAGAGGAGAGUGGAAUUCCAGAUGUAGCGGUGAAAUGCGUAGAUAUGUGGAGGAACACCAAUGGCGAAGGCAGCUCUCUGGCCUGAUACUGACGCUGAGGUGCGAAAGCGUGGGGAGCAAACAGGAUUAGAUACCCUCGUAGUC